rnacentral:rRNA from 1 species
AUUGAACGCUGGCGGCAGGCUUAACACAUGCAAGUCGAACGAGUGGCGGACGGGUGAGUAAUGCUUGGGAAUCUAGCUUCUGGAGGGGGAUAAAUACGGGAACCUGUAGCUAAUACCGCGCACCCUAGGAUGAGCCCAAGUGGGAUGAGGUCGUGGGUGAGGUAAAGGCUCACCAAGCCGACGAGCUCUAGCUGGUCUGAGAGGAUGACCAGUCACACUGGGACUGAGACACGGCCCAGACUCCUACGUGAGGCAGCAGUGGGGAAUAUUGCGCAAGGGGGGAAAGCUGACGCAGCCAUGCAGCGUGUAUGAAGAAGGCCUUCGGGUUGUAAAGCACUUUAAGUGAGGAGGCGUUACUAACAGAAGAAGCACCGGCUAACUUCGUGCCAGCAGCCGCGGUAAUUC